rnacentral:rRNA from 1 species
CGCGCCGACGAUAGCACGUUGAAUGCAAUAGUUCCCAAUGCAUCACACAAGUUAAACAACCUUCGCGUGGUUGGUAUUCGGGUGGGUGACCAUCUCGGCAAUCGCGUGCUGCCGGCU